ensembl:lncRNA
CCUACAAUGGCUGAUGUUUCUGUUGUUUAUAACCUUUGCCACUAACCAGAUCGAGUCUCUGCUGGUGUAUGAUCGCCAGGCUCUUUUGAAUCUUCGACAUAAUGUCGGAGAGUUACGUGCAUUUAAGCAUAGUGGGCAGAAAACUGUGCCCCCGCUUCUAGCGGGGAUCCCGACUCACCUGUGCCGGGCCUCUGCUCCACCUCCUCGGCGGAAGCGUCCCCGCCGCCGCGGCAAACGCGGCGGCCGGCUGGUGAAGCUGAAAGUCUGGCUGGCACAAUCUUCGUCCAUUUCCCGGACAGGACAUGGACGUAUUCAUCCCUUCGCCGUGCCUCGGCGUUUCCUGGAUCCCAUCGAUGCCUGCCUCGUACCUGUCGCCGGCUCGUUUGAGGGACUCCGGCUCCGCCGCACCUGCCCUCCUCGGCUUUCUCAGCGCGGCGUGAACCCCCGGCUCCUGAGGAUGCUGCCACGGGCUUCGCCACCUGCCGAACUGAAGCCCCCGGCCCCCGCCAGGUUCGGGCUGGUGAACGCCAGAUCACUGGUAAACAAAACGUUUAUCCUGAGGGACUUUUUCAACUCCCGUGGCCUGGACUUCCUCUGUGUGACAGAGACGUGGAUCGGUGCCGGUGAGUGCAGCCCCCUGAUCGAACUUCUACCGGCCGGCUGUUCUUAUUUAAACUCCCCGCGAUCGUCGGGUCGUGGAGGAGGGACGGCGACUGUUUAUAAAAACGGUUUUAAUUGUAGGCAGCCCGCUGUCUCAUCCUCUUUUUCCAGCUUUGAAGCAAAUGUAUUUGAGGUGGGUCGCUCAGACCCAGUGCUGUGUGCCGUCAUCUACCGACCGCCCAAAUACAAUAAAGACUUCCUAAAUGACUUCUCUGAUCUUCUGGCUGAAAUCAUGCCUAAGUAUGAUCGUGUCCUCCUUGUAGGGGAUUUUAACAUUCAUGUGUGCUGUCCUGAAAAACCGUUGGUGAAGGACUUUUUAAGCCUUAUUGACUCUUUUAAUUUGGAGCAGUGUGUGUCUGGUCCCACACACGAACGUGGACACACAUUAGACCUCGUCCUCUGUCAUGGUUUAUCUGUGUCAAACGUGGAAAUCUGUGACAAUGUGUUUUCCGAUCAUUUGCCGGUACUGUUUGAAGCUGCUGUCUCCUGUGCUGCAGUUAAAUCUGCCGCUCCUGCUCGCUGCCGUCGGAUUUUUAACCCCGUCACUGCCGGUCAGUUCUCCGCUGCCUUCAACCAGCUCUGUGUCCCCUCUGACUUAACAUCUGCAAACACGGAGGUGCUCAGCUCCUGGUUUCACUCCUCCUGCCGAAACAUACUGGACUCUGUGGCUCCAUUUAAAACGGUGCAGCCCAAAGCUAAACCUGAGCCCUGGUUCAAUGGGAGAACUCGCGCAGCCAGACAGGAGUGCCGCAAAGCUGAACGCAGGUGGAAAAAGGACAAGCUGCAUGUGUCUCACCAAAUCCUAAAAGACUGCUGGCGCUGCUACCAGAACACUGUUAAAGAGGCCAGAAGAGAGCACCUGUCAAACAUUAUUGAAUCAAAUUCUCACAACCCGCGUGUGUUAUUUAAAACCAUAGAAUCUGUUCUUGGCUCACCUCAGCCCGCGUGCACAGAGGAGUCCCCCGAAAUGUGCAAUAGCUUCCUGCAAUUCUUCAUUGAUAAGGUUGCUAUUGCAAGAGCUCUCAUUACCACACCUGCAUCUGACCCCUCUGACCAUGUUCUCUGCUCAGCUGUGUUUGAUUUGUUUGAGCCUGUGUCUCUGAUGGCUUUAGAAGAUGUGGUUGGCCAGAUUAAGCCAUCAGGCUCUCCCUGUGACAUUGUCCCGCCUCACUUUUUUAAAGAGGUUUUCCCUUGUAUAGGGCAGUCAGUACUGACCAUUAUUAACAGCAGUUUAUCUUCUGGUGUUGUCCCCCAAAGUUUUAAACAUGCUGUGGUGCAACCCCUGCUUAAGAAACCUAGCCUUGAUCGUGGUAUGCUAGCUAAUUAUAGACCUAUCUCCAAGCUGCCUUUUAUCUCUAAAAUCCUGGAAAAAGUCGUCCAAGUUCAGUUAAAGGCUUUCCUGGAUGACCAUGACAUCCUGGAAGUUUUCCAAUCU